rnacentral:rRNA from 1 species
GAUGAACGCUGGCGGCGUGCCUAAUACAUGCAAGUCGAGCGAACAGACGAGGAGCUUGCUCCUCUGACGUUAGCGGCGGACGGGUGAGUAACACGUGGAUAACCUACCUAUAAGACUGGGAUAACUUCGGGAAACCGGAGCUAAUACCGGAUAAUAUAUUGAACCGCAUGGUUCAAUAGUGAAAGACGGUUUUGCUGUCACUUAAAGAUGGAUCCGCGCCGCAUUAGCUAGUGGGUAAGGUAACGGCUUACCAAGGCAACGAUGCGUAGCCGACCUGAGAGGGUGAUCGGCCACACUGGAACUGAGACACGGUCCAGACUCCUACGGGAGGCAGCAGUAGGGAAUCUUCCGCAAUGGGCGAAAGCCUGACGGAGCAACGCCGCGUGAGUGAUGAAGGUCUUCGGAUCGUAAAACUCUGUUAUUAGGGAAGAACAAAUGUGUAAGUAACUAUGCACGUCUUGACGGUACCUAAUCAGAAAGCCACGGCUAACUACGUG